CCUACGGGUGGCAGCAGUGAGGAAUAUUGGUCAAUGGACGCAAGUCUGAACCAGCCAAGUAGCGUGCAGGAUGACGGCCCUACGGGUUGUAAACUUCUUUUAUAUAGGAAUAAAGUGAGGCACGUGUGCCUCUUUUUAUGUAUUCUAUGAAUAAGGAUCGGCUAACAUCGCGCCAGCAGCCGCGGUAAUAUGGAGGAUCCGCGCGUUAUCCGGAUUUAUUGGGUUUAAAGGGAGCGUAGAUGGGUUGUUAAGUCAGUUGUGAAAGUGUGCGGCUCAACCGUGGAAUUGCACUUGAUACUGGAAGUCUUGAGUGCAGUCAGGGAAGGCGGAAUGCAUGGUGUAGCGGUGAAAUGCUUAGAUAUCAUGAAGAACUCCGAUUGCGAAGGCAAGUGACCAGGCUGCAACUGACGUUGAUGCUCGAAAGUGUGGGUAUCAAACAGGAUUAGAUACCCGUGUAGUC
rnacentral:rRNA from 1 species